rnacentral:rRNA from 1 species
GACGAACGCUGGCGGCGUGCUUAACACAUGCAAGUCGAACGGUGAAGCGCCUUCCUUUUUGGUGGGUGUGGAUGAGUGGCGAACGGGUGAGUAACACGUGAGUAACCUGCCCCCUUCUUCUGGAUAACCGCAUGAAAGUGUGGCUAAUACGGGAUAUUCUGGGUCUGUCGCAUGAUGGGUCUGGGAAAGAUAUUGUUUCGGUGGGGGAUGGGCUCGCGGCCUAUCAGCUUGUUGGUGGGGUGAUGGCCUACCAAGGCGGUGACGGGUAGCCGGCCUGAGAGGGUGGACGGUCACACUGGGACGGAGACACGGCCCAGACUCCUACGGGAGGCAGAAGUGGGGAAUAUUGAACAAUGGGGGCAAGCGUGAUGCAGCGACGCCGCGUGAGGGAUGGAGGCCUUCGGGUUGUGAACCUCUUUCGCCAGUGAAGCAGGCCUGCCUCGUUUGUGGGUGGGUUGACGGUAGCUGGAUAAGAAGCGCCGGCUAACUACGUG